CAGCAGCCGCGGUAAUACGGAGGGGGCUAGCGUUGUUCGGAAUUACUGGGCGUAAAGCGCACGUAGGCGGCUUGGUAAGUUAGAGGUGAAAGCCCGGAGCUCAACUCCGGAAUUGCCUUUAAGACUGCCGAGCUAGCAGGUGAGAGAGGUAAGUGGAAUUCCGAGUGUAGAGGUGAAAUUCGUAGAUAUUCGGAAGAACACCAGUGGCGAAGGCGGCUUACUGGCUCAUACUGGACGCUGAGGUGCGAAAGCGUGGGGAGCAAACAGGAUUAGAUACCCCUGUAGUCCCUGUCUCUUAUAA
rnacentral:rRNA from 1 species